rnacentral:rRNA from 1 species
GACGAACGCUGGCGGCGUGCUUAACACAUGCAAGUCGAACGGAAAGGCCCUGCUUUUGUGGGGUGCUCGAGUGGCGAACGGGUGAGUAACACGUGAGUAACCUGCCCUUGACUUUGGGAUAACUUCAGGAAACUGGGGCUAAUACCGGAUAGGAGCUCCUGCUGCAUGGUGGGGGUUGGAAAGUUUCGGCGGUUGGGGAUGGACUCGCGGCUUAUCAGCUUGUUGGUGGGGUAGUGGCUUACCAAGGCUUUGACGGGUAGCCGGCCUGAGAGGGUGACCGGCGACAUUGGGACUGAGAUACGGCCCAGACUCCUACGGGAGGCAGCAGUGGGGAAUAUUGCACAAUGGGAGGAAGCCUGAUGCAGCGACGCCGCGUGCGGGAUGACGGCCUUCGGGUUGUAAACCGCUUUCGCCCGUGACGAAGCGUGAGUGACGGUAAUGGGUAAAGAAGCACCGGCUAACUACGUG